rnacentral:tRNA from 1 species
GGAAAGANUCUUUCCUCGGUG